AAUGCCACACCUGUAAACAAAAAGGGCACAAAGCUGCGAAAUGUCUUAGGCGCCUUAAAAAAGAUAACCGGAAAAUCAAGAUUAGGCCACCCCGCAAACACAGAUUUAUGACGCCCACUUUUUUUUCACGUGUUUGGGAACCCUGCACUACCUUAUCAAAUAUUGCUAGCGGAACAUACGUUUGUAUCACCACAAAAAGCUUGAUAUUUUCACUGUCGUCUUGAUCAUCCACCGUUCGGCGGGACGCACAAAACACUCGACCGGCCGGCCAUUAGUCGGGUGUUCGUGCCAGUUCGUGGCUCGGUUGUAUUAUUAUAUUAUCAAGAUUUCUGCCGUCGUUCGGCUCCGAGUAGAAGCGGACGGAGGUUGUGCGCCGAUCAAGGUCACCCACCACCACCACCACACACCGCAGCGGUGGCGAUGGAAUUCUUUCGUCUGGGCGGCGGUUACAAUCGCGUUCGGACAACGCUAUCGCGCGCGGAGUUUCGCGUGUCCCACCACAAUAUUGAACAUUAAUCCGUAGGGCAGGACAUCAAAUUAUGAAAUUAUAUUUUUUUUUUAUUUUUAAAAUUAAAAUAUCAAUAUUCAUAACAUAGAUAUUAGCACUGGCCCAUCUACCAGCUACCAGAGGUCAUCCAAAUUGCCAACAAUUUAGUAUGGAAGAUGGCUAUAGAGAAAUCAUAGCCUAUGUCCAGCAAUAUCCAGACGUGUACAAUCGCAUGCAAACAUUUUUAUUUGAAUAUAUUGGACAUUUUUGGAUGACUCAGGUUGGACUAUCAUUAAUUAGUGUUUUUGGUAGUGAAAUAAGGACCAAUAAUUAUCUGGAAUUGUUUCACAACCAAUUAUUAAGAUUUUUUGGUAAUCAUCCAAAUAUAUGGGACUUUUUACAAAAACUUAGAAUAUUGGAAAACCAAAUGUUGGAGAAUUCAUACAAGCUGGCAAAAAUCUAACAGUUCCUACUUACUUUAUUUAUAAAAUAUUUUAAUACAAUACCUAUAUAUUGUUAAUAAAUACAUACCUUAUGUUCCUCUAUGUUUAGAUAAGUGAUCAAACUUCUAGAAGUGAACGGGCUGCCAAUACCCAUUUAUUAAAAAGAGCCAUUGAGCAACUCAAUGAACAUGGCAAUAUAAUACAAUGCCUUACACAAAAUGGGCCAUGCUUAUGAUGGGUAUCUGAGACGUCAAAUCGGCCCUAUGGCAGAUCACUGAUUUUAUAUUUAUUAUAUUUGACUACCUAUUUAUUUUUAUUUAUUAUUUUUUAUUAUUGACUAUUUAUUCGAUUAAUGUAUUAGACUAAUGCUAAUUUAAUAGCUAUAAUUUGACUAUUUUUAUACAAUCUUUUUUCAAACUCAUUUCAAAUUCAUUUUUUUUUUUUUGUAUAAGCGUUUAAACGACUAAUUUGAACGGACUAUAUCAAAAUCGGGAAAAUUUGCAAGUAAUUUUGUCGUUGAAAAUUCAAAAAAAUAACAUUAACAAGCGUAACAAUAAUGAUUUAUCCUCGAACGAAUUUAAAAGAAUAAGUCGUUCUUAUUUGAAUAUUAUCAUUAAUUAUAAUUUAGUUGUUACUUACUUUAAAAUGCUUCUUUGAGUUUUGACCAUGUGAAUCGCCAUCGUGUAAAUAAUUAAACGUUUCGUGUAAAAUGUAAAUACUAAACUGUUGUUAUAUAAUAAAAUUAAUUUUAUUUACGUUAUUUUUAGCUGCUUGAUAAUUAGCACAUUAUUUUAUUUUUAUGUUGGUCACACCCUAAAUGACAAAAUUAUUGUUUUUAGAAUUAUAGCUUUUUGCUGUUGGCAACAAUGCUUCUUCAGUAAUAUUAUAUUUUGGAAGACGUGUUCUACGCCCUUUGGGAACCCUGCACUACCUUAUCAAAUAUUGCUAGCGGAACAUACGUGUCACCCGUGCAUGUGUAUGUGUGUGUGUUAUA